rnacentral:rRNA from 1 species
CAUCAUGGUCCUUAUGUCCAGGGCUACACACGUGUUACAAUGGCUAAUACAAAGGGAAGCAAAAUCGUAAGAUCAAGCAAACCCCAUAAAGUUAGUCUAAGUUCGGAUUGAGGUCUGCAAUUCGACCUCAUGAAGUUGAAAUCGCUAGUAAUCGCGUAUCAUAACGACGCGGUGAAUACGUUCUCGGACCUUGUACACACCGCCCGUCACACCAUGAGAGCUGUCUGUACCCAAAGUCAUCUUAGCCAACCUGAAAAGGAGGCGGAUGCCUAAGGUAUGUAUGGUGAUUGGGGUG